UGAGGAAUAUUGGUCAAUGGGGGCAACCCUGAACCAGCCAAGUCGCGUGAAGGAUGAAGGUCUUAUGGAUCGUAAACUUCUUUUAUACAGGAAUAAAUUGGGGGACGUGUCCCCUUUUGCAUGUACUGUAUGAAUAAGGAUCGGCUAACUCCGUGCCAGCAGCCGCGGUAAUACGGAGGAUCCGAGCGUUAUCCGGAUUUAUUGGGUUUAAAGGGUGCGCAGGCGGGAUGUUAAGUCGGCGGUGAAAUUUUGCAGCUCAACUGUAAAAGUGCCUUCGNUACUGGCCUCCGUGAGUGUGGAUGAAGUAGGCGGAAUUUGUGGUGUAGCGGUGAAAUGCUUAGAUAUCACGAGGAACUCCGAUUGCGCAGGCAGCUUACUAAACUACAACUGACGCUCAUGCACGAAGGCGUGGGGAUCAAACA
rnacentral:rRNA from 1 species